UUUUUCCCAAGCUACCAUUGGACUUUUAGCCAACACCUUAUUCCUUUUCUUCAACAUUUUCAUAUUCCUCCAGGAUCAGAAAUCAAAGCCCCAUGACCUCAUCAGCUGUAAUUCGGCCUUCAUUCAUGUAGUGAUGUUCCUCACUGUGGUGGAUGCUUGGCCUCCAGAUAUGCUUGAAUCACUGCACUUAGGGAAUGAGUUCAAAUUUAAGUCCUUGUCCUACAUAAACAGAGUGAGGAUGGACCUAUGUAUCUGUAACACCUGUCUCCUGAGUAUACACCAGGCCAGCACCAUCAGCCCCAGCAACUUCUGUUUGGCAAGGCCUAAACAGAAAUUCACAAGUAACAUUAUCAUGUCAUCUUUUUUCUUUUUCUUUUUUUUUUUUGGUCCAUCAAUUUGUCUUUCAGUCAUAACAUAGUAUUCUUUACUGUGGCUUCUUCUAAUGCUAAUGUGACCCAGACCAGUCUACCCAAGGGCAGCAAAUACUGUUCACUUUCUCCCAUGAAGUCCUUCAUGAGAAAAGUAUUUUUUACUCUGACAUUAUCCAGGGAUGUCUUCAUUAUAGGAAUUACACUGCAUUCAAUUGCACACAUGGUGAUCCUUGUGUCCAGGCAUGAGAGGCAAUCUCAGCACCUUCACAGCAUCAGCAUCUCUCCACAAGCCUUCCCAGAGAAAAGGGCUGCUCAGACCAUCCCGCUGUUAGUGAGCUACUGUCUGGUCAUGUGCUGGGUGGACCUCAUCAUCUCAUCUUCUUCAACCCUGCUGUGGACGUGUAACCCAGUCUUCCUGAGUAUGCAGAACCUUGUGGGCGAUGUCUACGCCACUGUUGUUCCACUGGAACAAAUCAGCUCUGAUAAAAAUAUAGUUGACAUUCUCCAAAAUAUGCAAAGUGC
rnacentral:lncRNA from 1 species